UCUGCGGGGUGAUCGGCGCCGAGAGACGGGAAACGGAUUUUUCUCUAGGACGGUUGUUUUUCUCUCUUGUAAAUUUGGACUUUGGCAUCGGGAGAAAGACGAGGAGAGAAAGAGCAGUCUCAGAUACGCAUUCUUCUUUACUCGUUUCUCGUUUCGUUUGUCCUCAUUGUUGAGACUUCGGUCUCGAAAACCGAUUUCUGCUUACCCCCGCGGCCUCUCGAGUCCUCCCCGUAACAAACAGGGUAACAAGAUACAAGUACUCCGAAUCCUUCUAUUCCCAGCCUGUUCCCUUCGAGCAUUCUCUCUCUCUCUCUCUCUCUCUUUCUCUCUCCCCUUCCAGCGCCUUGCGCGAGCUCGUGCGAGCUUUUUUUCUUUGUUCCCUUUUGCCCGCUUCCUUUCAAGCCGUGUUCUCUUUUCUCGUCGGGUCAGGAUCGGCUUCCACUAGCUCGUCGAGCGAUUUAUUACCCGACCGCCCUACCACAAACACAGGACUGUUUAGCCCCGUUUUCUAUCUCGUAAAGGGUAGGACAGGGUGGGUAAGGGAACAAGAAGACGAGACGGAAAAAGAUUGGUAGAGAGAGGGGGAGGGGGAAGGGGCGCGAAAAAGGUAAAGCUACGCUUGGCGAGCAAAGUGAAUGGUGGUCGUGUACACGCGGCCGCAAAAGUGCCGACGAGCCAGUUUUUAUAUAUCAUUCGGGAGAAACACACAUGCCGAAACACACUCUUGAAAAAUUUAUACGCUCUUUUAAUUAAUCGUUAUUAACGUUUCCACGCGCGCGAGCUCUUCUGCAGGCCGCGCAUGCUCGCGCGCGAUCGCUCUAUCAUAAUUCCUUUUUUUUUUUUUUUUUAAUUAGGCAGUACACACGAGUAUCCGGGGAUAUCCGUGAAUUAAAAUAAUUUUAUAAUCGACGGCGCCAUUAGUGGAGCAUUGCGAGGUUAACGACCCCCUCCGAUCGCAUUAAUGCUCCGCGAAACGCGCGAUUUCGUUUGCGGCGGAGUGCGCGAGAGGUGAUAAAAUUUUUAAUAGCGAUGUAAUUGUACAUGCGAGCCACGAUUGAAACCGCCAGCGGAAGAGAGAGGCGGGAGGAAAAGGGGGCGAAAGGGGAUGAUUCGAUCUCGCGCGACGAUAUUUUAUAGGUCGUCGCUGAUCGCGCAUCGAUAACCGGCUUGUCGAUCGCGAACAAGGUGAGCGCAAUCGUUGAGUCGAGCGCGAUAAGAAUACGAUCGGCGAAGCCAUGCAAGGCGUAGCGGAGAGACACGGAGCGGAUUAAAACGCGUAGCGUGAAUGGAGACGUUUUUCUGUAAUGGAAGGCAGGCAGGCAAGCAGAGGCAGGCAAGCUGCGGGCCGUAAAGAGAGAAUUGAAGCGCGGCCGCGACGAUCGAGCACCUGCCUGCAGCGUGAGAGGAGGCCCACAAAGGGAGACAAGCCUCUGCCUGCCUGCCUGCCUGCCUGCCUGGAACUCGUGAAAAUAAUUCCUGCCUUUCAAGGCGCGCGCAGGUAUAAACCGAGGCGAGUAGUGCGUGUUGUCCCGCGCGCGUUCUCGCCUUACGCGGCCUUACGCUUCUCCCUCGUUGGCUUAAACGGGAUCAAGCAGGUGUCUAUUGUGGACGCAUUCGCGAAUCCUCGCCUCUCUAACGCACGAUAAUCUCUUUCUCUCUUUCUCCCUCUUCGGGUAAUUUAUCUAAAUGCGAGGAACGACGUCUCUCCUGGCUUUGCGAAGAAUUUUAAGAAGCUUAUGAUUUAUGUAUUUAUUAGUAGAGUUGCUACAAAACGUGCGCUAACGACGUCAAUUUUUCGACGACACUGUACACUCGAUUUUUUAAGUAGCCUGUAAAAUGUCCCAGCUGAACGAUGAACGGUGACGAGUUUUGCCAUAACGAGCCAUUUGCGAAUUAUCGCCCGUCGAGCACCAAAAUCGCUCUCGUAGAUUUUUUUUUUUUUUUUUUUUUAACCGGGGGCUGUCCAUUUGCACAUAAAAUAUUAAUAAUUUGCAUUACCUGUAUGCAAUGCAAACUACGUUUUACCUGUCAUCUAUAAACAAUAAUCCAUAGAUUCUGAAAAUUCCGAUUUUACUAAAAAUAGUGACAUUUUAUUUUUCUAUUUUUUUUUUGCAUAUAUUUUUAUUUCAUUAAUACUAAAGAUCGAAAAUAUAUAUUAACAAUCUUGUAACUUAAUUAUUUUUGUACCUGUAUCUAUAUUGUAUCCAAUUUAGAAUAGUUUACAUUACCUGUAUUGUUUGAACAAGAUUUGUGUAAACAUAACGAUAUGUAAACGAUUCGUGUAGACGUAAUCUUGAAAUUUACGGCACAAACCUGCUUUUAACCUUAACGAUGACUGAGCAAUUGGCCUGUAAUAGCGGACCUUUAUUAGACGUCGUUCAAGUCCGCUACGCUCUCGAGUCCGCGUCAUUAAAAAUACAUAUGGCCGCCGGCUUUAUCCGACUGGGUCGUUUACCGUUUUCGCCGUGCAUGUAUUAUCGAUCGCGCCGAAUUAAUAUGUGAUAUCGGCGUAUUAAUUUCUAAAGCGUCAACCGGCGCGCGAUAACGCACUGUGUCGAGUGUUUCCGUCGACGGUAAAUAACCGUUACACCAAACACGGCAAAUCUUUAUUGCAUAUAUGUAAUAAACAAUCUAAACAUCGUAAAACAUGCAUUCAACUCGCACACACCAAGGUAAUGUUGCCUAAUACAUUGGUCGACGUGUAUAUUUCGAUAUUUUGUUUCGCUCAAUAGUCUCUUUCUCUCUGAUUGCCGUGUGAACAAAAAAAUGUUUGGCAAUACUUUUUUUCAGGGUACUCGCAUCAACGACGGGGCGAUAAAGGUAAACAGUGCAUCGUCGAUCGUUUUAUGCGUUCCGCAAUUAUUUUACGCAACGGCGCCAUCGACGCGCGUACGGAACGAUUAUUAUUAUGCAGCACCUAUCGAUACGUCGCGAAAAUUUCGAGCACUACGGCCUAAUCUUGCAAGUAAAUAGCGUCUCUUCUACCGGUGACGCGAAAGAGAGAGAGAGAGAGAGAGAGAUGGGGGGAAAAGAGGGAGAGGACGUGAUUCAAAGCCCAGCGUGACAUAAAUAUUUGCCGACGAUAAUACUUCAUUCCCGCCUCCGGUUACCAGGCCCCGCGCUUCGCCGUACGUACUCACACGUAUGCGGGACACGUAGUAGUAUAAACAUCGUCUACGCCUGCAGGUGACUGUAACAGCACGAGAUAAUCAAUCCCCGAGUGCCGCCUGAACUCUAGCCUAUCCCCCUCCCCCUUCCUCUCCCUCUUUGCCUCACCACAAGCUCGAGCGCGUAAAUAUCUCGCGCAUUAAUGAGUCAUUAUCGCCGUGCCGUUAUAGCAUUUGUACGUGCUUGCGGGCAAUGCAUUACGUACUCGGGAAAUCUUUUCAUCACCAUGCCGCGAACUCGCACCGGCCGGGAGUUAAUCAGGGCGAAGGUUGAUAAGAAGCUACGAAGGAAGAGGAGAAGAACGUGAGGUGCGAAAGGAUAGCGACUAGACUCAUGAGCGCUGGCAAUAUAACGGAAUAUCUAUAUGUCGACAUGAAAAUUCAUAAAGACGUACGUAUAUCGAGAAUAUGAAAAAUUCAUUCCGACAGCAAUAUGGAUUGUGCGGCAGAUCUAUCAUUCGUGUCAGACUUCGUAUCAUUUCUCGCCGGCCGUCAUCAACUAUGACAUACUGAACUUUGGAGCAGUUACGACGUCGUUACGACCUUGUUACGACCAAGAACUGAGUAAAGUUCCUCCUGCGGAUAAUUUAAUGUAGAAAUGUUGUAUGGAUGCAGAAAUGUAACGUGUGUAAAAAACGAUGAAAAAAUAUAUAUAUUAAUAUAAUAUGUGUUGUAAGUAAAUAUAGACAAAGAGCAACAUGAUGAUCAAGUUUGUAUAAUUUUACAAUGUUACUUUUAAUACGCGGUCAGUUAUAAAAUGUUGCUAUUUAUUCAGUACAUUAAAAAAUUAUUUUAUAAAAUAGUUAAAUGUAAAGUGAGAAUUCUCUCUGUUCUUUUCAGUUGUGGUUGUUAAUCUAUGAUUAAACAUUAUCGAACUUUGGCAAUAAAGAUGAUAGAAAUAA
rnacentral:lncRNA from 1 species